rnacentral:tRNA from 4 species
CGGCGAGUAGCGCAGCUUGGCAGCGCAACUGGUUUGGGACCAGUGGGUCGGAGGUUCGAAUCCUCUCUCGCCGACCA